GCCCUCCAUCUUUCCCAACAUUAGGGUCUUUUCCAGGGAGUCUUCUCUUCUCAUGAGGUGGCCAAAGUAUUGGAGCCUCAGCUUCAGGAUCUGUCCUUCCAGUGAGCACUCAGGGCUGAUUUCCUGCACAAUGGGUCGGUUUGAUCUUCCUACAGUCCAUGGGACUCUCAAGAGUCUCCUCAAGCACCAUAAUUCAAAAGCAUCAAUUCUUUGGCGAUCAGCCUUCUUUAUGGUCCAGAACCUUGUUUGGGGGAUGGGAGGUGUGGCCAUCACCUGCCCCUCCAUACUAAAGGGUAUGCUGUUAAAGCAGGCAUGGCCAAACUUGGCCCUUCAGCUGUUUGGGGACUACAAUUCCCAUCAUCCCUGACCACUGGUCCUGUUAGCUAGGGUGAUGGGAGUUGUAGUCCCAAAACAGCUGGAGGGCCAAGUUUGGCCAUGCCUGUGUGAAAGGAAUCCGGGGGUCGUGGUUCCUGUCCGAAGCCCGGGUGGAGGCUAGGGCCAUGGCACAACCUUCUGGUGACCCGGGGGGGGGGGAGCUUCAAGUUGAUGUGCAUCAACAGGGCUCCUCCUACUGGUGCUUAACCCUUGUGAGACUUCCUGCAGGCAGGCAGGAGUCAGAUAAAGUCGGUUCAAUUCCAGUGCCUAAGCCAAUACUGCUCACAUUCUGUAACCAAUAAAGUUGUGGCCUAAAUGUUGCCCAUUAACCUAAAAUAUGGUGUCCACGUAUUAUUAUUCAACAUAAGGGGGAGGCCUCGGGGUCUUGACACGCAACAGUAGUAGCCCUUGCAGCUGACUGAGCACGGCUCCAACUGCUGGCCGCAGUUAAAUUGUUUCAUCUGUGCUUUGACGAAGGGGAGCCAUUCCGGGCCACAACCGCUACCCACCUGGAAUACCAGUGCGUGGUCCCAAUGUGAAAGGGCUGCCCACGGUUUCUGGUGUUUAAAAAAAAGGUAAAGGUAAAGGUAAAGGGACCCCAGACCAUAAGGUCCAGUCGUGACCGACUCUGGGGUUGUGGUGCUCAUCUCGCUUUAUUGGCCGAGGAAGCUGGCAUACAGCUUCCAGGUCAUGUGGCCAGUAUGACUAAGCCGCUUCUGGCGAACCAGAGCAGCGCACGGAAACACCGUUUACCUUCCCGCCAGAGCGGUACCUAUUUAUCUACUUGCACUUUGACGUGCUUUCGAACUGCUAGGUGGGCAGGAGCAGGGACCGAGCAAUGGGAGCUCACCCCAUCACGGGGAUUCGAACCGCUGACCUUCUGAUCGGCAAGUCCUAGACUCUGUGGUUUAACCCACAGCGCCACCCGCGUCCCACGAUGUUGUUGUUUUUUUAACGCACAAAAAAGACACAAUGGAAAGCCACACGUUUCAAAUGAUGUAAAAUGCCUCUCCAAAAUGCCUCUUGUUCGACACAGAAGAAAAACUGCCUUAGUAGCACUCAUUUGUGCAUGUGAUUCAUGCAAUCCAUCUGGGGAAAAGCACACAGAAGCCUUGUCUUGCACCCAUCAGGCUCCACAAUGGCCAUUUUUUUAAGCUGCCUUUGAACAAACGGCUUCAGACAACAACAGCUACUAUUAUUUAUUGCAAUUUGUUUCUAUGAGCAAAUUAUCUGCCUUACACAUUGUCUAAUCUCCUUGUCAAAUAGCACAAUCCAAUAUUCCCCGGGGGGAAUAUAAGGAAGACCUAACCUAAUUCUGAGCACAUUUACUUGGAAGCGAAGCUCAUUAAUUUCAUUAGACCUUACAAUGAAAGGCUUAUACCAGGCACUUGCAUUGGAGAUCAAAGCCCUGUCUGAGAAAAGAGAGUCGCCACUCAUGCAAAUGGCAAAUGUAGCCUUAAUAAGAAUAAGAACACACAAAUUAUUCCCCAGUAACUUUUCAGGUAAACUUUGUUUUCUGGGUGUCUUGAAUUCCUUUGGUGAUGAGCUGAAAUCCAGCAGAGUAAAGGUUGUUCCCAUUACUGCAAUUGUUUCCCAGGAAAAGUCCAACUGUUGCAUUGUUCCCUGGUCCUGAAUUCCCUGGUCCUGAAUGGGGUAACUGUGCUCCUGAAGGACCAGGUGCGCAGCCUGGGAGUCAUUUUGGACUCGCAGCUGUCCAUGGAGGCGCAGGUCAAUUCUGUGUCCAGGGCAGCUGUCUACCAGCUCCACCUGGUACACAGGCUAAGACCCUACCUGCCCGUGGACUGUCUCGCCAGAGUGGUGCAUGCUCUAGUUAUCUCCCGCUUGGACUACUGCAACGCGCUCUACGGGGGGGGGGUACCUUUGAAGGUGACCCAGAAACUGCAAUUAAUCCAGAAUGCGGGAGCUAGACUGGUGACUGGGAGUGGCCGCCGGGACCACAUAACACCGGUUCUGGGAGAUCUGCAUUGGCUCCUAGUACAUUUCCGAGCACAAUUCAAAGUGUUGGUGCUGACCUUUAAAGCCCUAAACGGCCUCGGUCCUAUAUACCUGAAGGAGCGUCUCCACCCCCAUCGUUCAGCCCGGACACUGAGAUCCAGCACUGGAGGCCUUCUGGUGGUUCCCUCAUUGCGAGAAGUGAGGUUACAGGGAACCAGACAGAGGGCCUUCUCGGUAGUGGCACCCACCCCGUGGAACACCCUCCCUUCAGAUGUGAAGGAAAUAAGCAGCUAUCCUAUUUUAAAAAGACAUCUGAAGGCAGCCCUGUUCAGGGAAGUUUUUAAUAUUUAACGCUGUACAGUGGUGCCUCGCAAGACGAAAUUAAUCCGUUCUGCGAGUAUCUUCGUCUAGCUGUUUUUUCGUCUUGCGAAGCAACCCUAUUAGUGGCUUAGCGGAUUAGCGCUAUUAGCGGUUUAGCGGCUAUUAAAGGCUUAGCGGCUUAGCUGCUAAAAGGCUAUUAAAGGCUUAGCGGCUUAGAAAAAGGAGGGGGAAAGCGAAAAAAAAUCUCAAGACUCGCAAGACAUUUUCGUCUUGCGAAGCAAGCCCAUAGGGAAAUUCGUCCUGCGAAGCGCAUUGAAAAAUGGAAAACCCUUUCGUCUAGCGGGUUUUCCGUCUUGCGAGGCAUUCGUCUUGCAGGGCACCACUGUACUGUUUUUAACACUUGAUUGGGAGCCACCCAGAGUGGCUGGGGAAACUCAGCCAGAUGGGCGGGGUAUAAAUAAAUAAAUAAAUAAAUAUUAUUAUUAUUAUUAUUAUUAUUAUUAUUAUUAUUAUUCCUUUUCACUCAGCUAUUUAUGGAAGAGGAGCCCUGCCAGUGGAAUAGCUGGCAACCCUUGUUGUUUUGUGAACAAAUAAGCUAUAAGGAUUCCUGUGCAAUGGAAGGCUUGCUGAGAUUCACUAAGCAGGCAAAGGUGAAAUGGAAGGAAUAAAUUGAUUCUACUCAAUGCAGAAUCAAUUUCCUACAUUGGUUUUCUUGUUAAUUGAGUUUUUAGCAGCAAGAAAGCCGAAAGAAGGAAAAACGGAAUAGGAAAUUUUAAUCUGAGUUUAUUACAGAUAUAUUAAGCAGAGAACACUAAGCCUUUGAAAAAGUACCAAAAAUAAUUCCUUUUUUAUAGAGAAAAAAGCACCUCUCUUUCCUCCCCCAACAUCGUUCCCACUUCAUUAUAUAAAACACUUUGCAUUGGAUUAUGCACCAUUUUUGGUGGUGAAAGUACUGCCAAACACACCAGGAGACUUUUUCUCUGAUUAGUGUGAUAGGGGAGGGUGGGGAGAAUAUCUGUUUCCAUAGCAAAUACUAAACUUGCUGCGCUGCUGUACCGUUCUGUCAGUAUUGGGAUUAUAUAAGAACCUGAAGCAUAAAGGUUGAGCAAUACACUGGAAUCAUUAAACCCCGUCUGUGAAUUGGAAUAAUGAUGGCUUUUUGUCAUUAUGGAAUUUAAGUUGCGCAAACCCCCUUCGUAAGGAGUUGACAUUGCACGGUAAAGCUAUUCCAGGCCUCAGCUGCUUCAAAUUACAGCUGUUGGUUGGGGUUCUUUAUACUAUUGUUUCAGUCUUCUAUGGAAAAAAACCUCCCUGUAUAUUGAAAACUAGUAUUUCGGGGGAGCAACCUAAACUAGGUUACUGCCCUUUCCCUUGAUACCAAGUUUCUCUCUCUCUCUCUCUCACUCUCUCUCUCUCACACACACACAUUCCUGCUUUCUUUCAGAUUUCUUUUAAAAACUGCUUUAUUCAGACAAGCCAUUCAAACCAUAUCUAUGGUGCUGGAGCUGUCCAUAUAUCAAGUGCUGAAAAAUUGUGGUAAACUGCUGUAACUCAGUGCAUCAUAAAUCUGCCCUGCUUUUAAAAGGGCAGGAAGACAGAACACCCUUUAUGUCAGCAGAUAUUGGCCAUAGUUCUUAAGUGCAACUAUUACCAACACAGCACCCACAGAGGCCUUCCUUAGUGCCCAGAGGGUCCCCCUUCCCUUGGUAGUGGUGAUCAGGACAGGUGGGUUUGAAAAUAUGCCCUCACAUCCCCAAAAAGUAGGCAACCCUUGCUUUAGUAUGUUGGUUUUCAUUUCUGGAUGUAAAUUGACAAGCUUUUCCAAAACAAAACAAAAAACUGUGCUGUGCAUUGCUGAAAAGAAAAAGCAUGUGCAAGUCACACACUUAACUACAGUGGUACCUCGGGUUAAGAACUUAAUUCGUUCCGGAGGUCCGUUCUUAACCUGAAACUGUUCUUAACCUGAAGCACCACUUUAGCUAAUGGGGCCUCCCACUGCUGCUGCGCCGCUGGAGCACGGUUUCUGUUCUCAUCCUGAAGCAAAAUUCUUAACCCAAUGUACUAUUUCUGGGUUAGCGGAGUCUGUAACCUGAAGCAUAUGUAACCCGAGGUACCACUGUAUAUUACACAGGUAGAGUUGCCCUUUAACAGACUCAUGCCAGACAGGAAUUACCGUAGUUUUCCAUGUGUAAGACUAUGUUUUUUUCUUUAAAAAUCAUGCUAAAAAGUGGGGGUUGUCUUAUACAUGGGUACUGCGUAGAGUGAACAUUUGAUUGGUUGCUGCUGAGGCUGUCAGUGGCUAUUGUGCAUGUUAUUGGUUGCUUCAUCAAUGGGUGGUGUUGACUGGCUGAUGUUCUGGCAGUUGUGCGGGCGAUUGGCAGCUUCUGCCGGCGAUGAGACAGACGGGAGGUGGAUUAUGCAACGCAUGGGGAUGAGCGAUUUUCGGCAAUCCCCCCUAAAAAAGCUCAACUAACCCUGGGUAAUCCCCCCCAAAACGUUCAACAACUCUGUGCCAUCUCCCCCCAUUUUCUUAAAUCUGAGUCCCCAAAUAUAGGGGGCAUCCUAUAUAUGGGGGCAUCUUAUAGGCAGAAAAAUAUGGUAAGCAUAUAGUUUUGGAUUAGACUGAAUGGUUUGUCAUGUAGGUUUCCAGAGACCGGCUUCUUAUGUUGUUCACUUACUUCACUACAUUCCUGGCAGCAGCACCGUAGCUCUUUAUGUACAACGUGUUACUAUAAGUACUAUAAGUAAGAUAACACCUCGUUGGACUAUAUAACACAUGACAUGACAAUCUGACCUAUAUAACACAUAAAGUGAUGCUCCAUGGCUUGUUGUUCUUCCCAAACUGUAGUGACACUUGUGCUCUUAUAUAAUGCCUUUUUUUUGUGGGGUAUCUGGGCUUUGAACAGGCUGUUUCCCUUGCACAAACCAGAGGUGCCAAUUCCUAGGGGCAGAGGUAUGUUCAGCCCCCUCAAUAUCUGCUGGCAGGGGACUGGGCCCCCUCAAAGUUGAGGGGGGCAGAGGAGGUCAAGCAUGGAGCUGAGUGUGGUGCAGUUCAGUGACCAGCUCCUGGGCGCAUGACAUCGCACACGUCAUACGUCGCGCACAUGGCAUCCGUGCCGGGCCUCCCCCCCCCCAAAAAAAAAUCUUGGCCGCAAUACAGCGCUUCUGUACACAGCUUACAUGAACAAUAGACUAUGUCCGUUCUUUAUUAACCAUUUGCACUAAUUAGUUUGUGCAGAGGUUAUACAACAUCGUGGUUUGCUUGGGCAGCAUUCUUCUUCCCAUUAACCAUCCACUCCCCCUAUGUUAUUCUGUGCAUUUCCCUGUAACAUUCCUGACUGCAAAAUGUCUUUUUUCAAAAGUAAAUUUGUUGUGCCAAGGGUGAGAGGGCACCUUGUUGUUGUUGUUGUUGUUUAGUCGUUUAGUCGUGUCCAACUCUUCAUGAUCCCAUGGACCAGAGCACGCCAGGCACUCCUGUCUUCCACUGCCUCCCACAGUUUGGGCAAAUUCAUGCUGGUAGCUUCGAGAACACUGUCCAACCAUCUCGUCCUCUGUCGUCCCCUUCUCCUUCUGCCCUCCAUCUUUCCCAGCAUCAGGGUCUUUUCCAGGGAGUCUUCUCUUCUCAUGAGGUGGCCAAAGUAUUGGAGCCUCAGCUUCAGGAUCUGUCCUUCCAGUGAGCACUCAGGGCUGAUUUCCUUCAGAAUGGAUAGGUUUGAUCUUCUUGCAGUCCAUGGGACUCUCAAGAGUCUCCUCCAGCACCAUAAUUCAAAAGCAUCAAUUCUUCGGCGAUCAGCCUUCUUUAUGGUCCAGCUCUCACUUCCAUACAUCACUACUGGGAAAAACAUAGCUUUAACUAUACGGACCUUUGUUGGCAAGGUG